GACGAACGCUGGCGGCGUGCCUAAUACAUGCAAGUCGAACGAACUCUGGUAUUGAAUUGGUGCUUGCAUCAUGAUUUACAUUUGAGUGAGUGGCGAACUGGUGAGUAACACGUGGGAAACCUGCCCUAGAAGCGGGGGAUAACACCUGGAAACAGAUGCUAAUACCGCAUAACAACUUGGACCGCAUGGUCCGAGCUUGAAAGAUGGCUUCGGCUAU
rnacentral:rRNA from 1 species